rnacentral:rRNA from 1 species
CAGGUGGAUACCCGGAAGAAAUUCCGACUAAUACAGCAUAACACUCCUGAGGGACAUCCUUCGGGAGUCAAAGGAGGCGACUCCGGUGACGGAUGGGCAUGCGGCGCAUUAGGUAGUUGGUGGGGUAACGGCCUACCAAGCCGACGAUGCGUAGGGGUUCUGAGAGGAAGGUCCCCCACAUUGGAACUGAGACACGGUCCAAACUCCUACGGGAGGCAGCAGUGAGGAAUAUUGGUCAAUGGCCGGAAGGCUGAACCAGCCAAGUCGCGUGAGGGAAUAAGGCCCUAUGGGUCGUAAACCUCUUUUGUCAGGGAGCAAAGGCGUCCACGAGUGGACGAAAGGAGAGUACCUGAAGAAAAAGCAUCGGCUAACUCCGUGCCAGCAGCCGCGGUAAUACGGAGGAUGCGAGCGUUAUCCGGAUUUAUUGGGUUUAAAGGGUGCGUAGGCGGAGUGUCAAGUCAGCGGUAAAAUUUCGGGGCUCAACCCCGUCGUGCCGUUGAAACUGACGCCCUUGAGUGAGUGAGAAGUAAGCGGAAUGCGUGGUGUAGCGGUGAAAUGCAUAGAUAUCACGCAGAACGCCGAUUGCGAAGGCAGCUUACCGGCGCUCAACUGACGCUGAGGCACGAAAGUGCGGGUAUCGAACAGGAUUAGAUACCCUGGUAGUCCGCACAGUAAACGAUGAAUAAUAGAUGUCCGGGGCGAAUGAGCUUUGGGUGUCACAG